CCUGGCAAGACAUAGCCUUACAUAUUAAAAUGCAAUAUGUAAUAUGCGUGUAAUAUGUAAGGCUAUGUCUUGCCAG